rnacentral:rRNA from 1 species
AGCAGCCGCGGUAAUUCCAGCUCCAAUAGCGUAUAUUAAAGUUGUUGCAGUUAAAAAGCUCGUAGUUGAAUUUCGGGAUCAAGGGAUCGGUCAUGCCUUGGUAUGCACUGGUUUCAUUGGUUCUCACCUUCUAAAGAACCAUGAUGUCAUUCAUUUGAUGUUAUGGGGAAUUAGGACUGUUACCUUGAAAAAAUUAGAGUGUUUAAAGCAGGCUUACGCUUGAAUACAUUAGCAUGGAAUAAUGAAAUAGGACAUCCGAUUCUAUUUUGUUGGUUUCUAGGAUCGAUGUAAUGAUUAAUAGGGAUAGUUGGGGGCAUUAGUAUUCAAUUGUCAGAGGUGAAAUUCUUGGAUUUAUUGAAGACUAACUACUGCGAAAGCAUUUGUCAAGGAUGUUUUCAUUAAUCAAGAACGAAAGUUAGGGGAUCGAAGACGAUCAGAUACCGUCGUAGUCUUAACCAUAAACUAUGCCGACUAGGGAUCGGAUGAUGUUAAUUUUAUAAUGACUCAUUCGGCACCUUACG